UCAUUUCUCCACUGUGACACUAGGACCACUCCAACUCUCUAGACCCCAGGAGUUGCCUGUCCAACACAGGGGCUUUUCUUACCUUCCUAAGAUUUGUGCAGCUUUUCUACCCAAAGAUUUUGCAACACUGAGCAACUAAAAUGUUGAACCAUAAAGUGCUUACAAAGGCAGAUGUCAGAAACCAAGACUAAUUUACCAAGGAGGAAAGAAGAAAUGCUGAAGGAAACCAGACUCACACCAAGAAAGAGUUGAAGAAAUUAGACUGUGCAAAGACUGCCAAAAAUUCCAGGACCAGAUGUGAUGCAGCCUACAUUUCUAAAAGAAGGAGCAAAAGAGAUUGAAGAACCAUUAGCAGAUAUAUUUAGAAAGCAUGUGAGAACAGGGGAAUUACUGAUGGACUGAAGAGAGGCAAAUGUAGCACCCAUACCAUACUCUUCACUAUAAGCAGUAGCAAUGAUACUGGAACUGUGACAGUUUCCUAUUGCAUGGUACUGUGCUAGCAUUAACUGCUGCCAUGGCAACACAAUGCAAAGGGAGCAGAUGGGGAGUAGAAGGGUCUAUUUAAGGGUAAUUAAGACGCGCUUGUUUAAGAAGGGGCAAGUGUGAUGCCCCAGCAGGCUUUAUCUGUUCUUCAGGAAAAGCUGCUUGUGGUCUUUUAAAAUUUUGCCACUGGGGAUAACUAAUUAGCAGAUGGAUGCUCAACAGAGGAGUCUAGAUUCUGACAUGGGUGACAGCUGGUGGCAGCUGGGCCCAGGAACAGGCAGCUUUUGUAGAAAGGGUAACAGAGAGAUGCAGACAGACAGACCCAGGCAAGGAAAAGCUGUAAGAAGUGCUAAGCUGUAA